rnacentral:rRNA from 1 species
GUGGGGAAUCUUGCACAAUGGGGGAAACCCUGAUGCAGCGACGCCGCGUGAGCGAUGAAGCCCUUCGGGGUGUAAAGCUCUUUCGGCAGGAACGAUAAUGACGGUACCUGCAGAAGAAGCUGCGGCUAACUACGUGCCAGCAGCCGCGGUAAUACGUAGGCAGCAAGCGUUGUUCGGAGUUACUGGGCGUAAAGAGUGUGUAGGCGGUUCUCUAAGUUUGGUGUGAAAUCUCCCGGCUUAACUGGGAGGGUGCGCCGAAAACUGGAGGGCUCGAGUGCGGGAGAGGAGAGCGGAAUUCCUGGUGUAGCGGUGAAAUGCGUAGAUAUCAGGAGGAACACCUGUGGUGUAGACAGCUCUCUGGACCGCCACUGACGCUGAGACACGAAAGCGUGGGUAGCAAACAGGAUUAGAUACCCGAGUAGUCC